GGUUAAGCGACUAAGCGUACACGGUGGAUGCCCUGGCAGUCAGAGGCGAUGAAGGACGUGCUAAUCUGCGAUAAGCGUCGGUAAGGUGAUAUGAACCGUUAUAACCGGCGAUUUCCGAAUGGGGAAACCCAGUGUGUUUCGACACACUAUCAUUAACUGAAUCCAUAGGUUAAUGAGGCGAACCGGGGGAACUGAAACAUCUAAGUACCCCGAGGAAAAGAAAUCAACCGAGAUUCCCCCAGUAGCGGCGAGCGAACGGGGAGCAGCCCAGAGCCUGAAUCAGUGUGUGUGUUAGUGGAAGCGUCUGGAAAGGCGCGCGAUACAGGGUGACAGCCCCGUACACAAAAAUGCACAUGCUGUGAGCUCGAUGAGUAGGGCGGGACACGUGGUAUCCUGUCUGAAUAUGGGGGGACCAUCCUCCAAGGCUAAAUACUCCUGACUGACCGAUAGUGAACCAGUACCGUGAGGGAAAGGCGAAAAGAACCCCGGCGAGGGGAGUGAAAAAGAACCUGAAACCGUGUACGUACAAGCAGUGGGAGCACGCUUAGGCGUGUGACUGCGUACCUUUUGUAUAAUGGGUCAGCGACUUAUAUUCUGUAGCAAGGUUAACCGAAUAGGGGAGCCGAAGGGAAACCGAGUCUUAACUGGGCGUUAAGUUGCAGGGUAUAGACCCGAAACCCGGUGAUCUAGCCAUGGGCAGGUUGAAGGUUGGGUAACACUAACUGGAGGACCGAACCGACUAAUGUUGAAAAAUUAGCGGAUGACUUGUGGCUGGGGGUGAAAGGCCAAUCAAACCGGGAGAUAGCUGGUUCUCCCCGAAAGCUAUUUAGGUAGCGCCUCGUGAAUUCAUCUCCGGGGGUAGAGCACUGUUUCGGCAAGGGGGUCAUCCCGACUUACCAACCCGAUGCAAACUGCGAAUACCGGAGAAUGUUAUCACGGGAGACACACGGCGGGUGCUAACGUCCGUCGUGAAGAGGGAAACAACCCAGACCGCCAGCUAAGGUCCCAAAGUCAUGGUUAAGUGGGAAACGAUGUGGGAAGGCCCAGACAGCCAGGAUGUUGGCUUAGAAGCAGCCAUCAUUUAAAGAAAGCGUAAUAGCUCACUGGUCGAGUCGGCCUGCGCGGAAGAUGUAACGGGGCUAAACCAUGCACCGAAGCUGCGGCAGCGACGCUGAUGCGUUGUUGGGUAGGGGAGCGUUCUGUAAGCCUGCGAAGGUGUGCUGUGAGGCAUGCUGGAGGUAUCAGAAGUGCGAAUGCUGACAUAAGUAACGAUAAAGCGGGUGAAAAGCCCGCUCGCCGGAAGACCAAGGGUUCCUGUCCAACGUUAAUCGGGGCAGGGUGAGUCGACCCCUAAGGCGAGGCCGAAAGGCGUAGUCGAUGGGAAACAGGUUAAUAUUCCUGUACUUGGUGUUACUGCGAAGGGGGGACGGAGAAGGCUAUGUUGGCCGGGCGACGGUUGUCCCGGUUUAAGCGUGUAGGCUGGUUUUCCAGGCAAAUCCGGAAAAUCAAGGCUGAGGCGUGAUGACGAGGCACUACGGUGCUGAAGCAACAAAUGCCCUGCUUCCAGGAAAAGCCUCUAAGCAUCAGGUAACAUCAAAUCGUACCCCAAACCGACACAGGUGGUCAGGUAGAGAAUACCAAGGCGCUUGAGAGAACUCGGGUGAAGGAACUAGGCAAAAUGGUGCCGUAACUUCGGGAGAAGGCACGCUGAUAUGUAGGUGAAGUCCCUCGCGGAUGGAGCUGAAAUCAGUCGAAGAUACCAGCUGGCUGCAACUGUUUAUUAAAAACACAGCACUGUGCAAACACGAAAGUGGACGUAUACGGUGUGACGCCUGCCCGGUGCCGGAAGGUUAAUUGAUGGGGUUAGCCGCAAGGCGAAGCUCUUGAUCGAAGCCCCGGUAAACGGCGGCCGUAACUAUAACGGUCCUAAGGUAGCGAAAUUCCUUGUCGGGUAAGUUCCGACCUGCACGAAUGGCGUAAUGAUGGCCAGGCUGUCUCCACCCGAGACUCAGUGAAAUUGAACUCGCUGUGAAGAUGCAGUGUACCCGCGGCAAGACGGAAAGACCCCGUGAACCUUUACUAUAGCUUGACACUGAACAUUGAGCCUUGAUGUGUAGGAUAGGUGGGAGGCUUUGAAGUGUGGACGCCAGUCUGCAUGGAGCCGACCUUGAAAUACCACCCUUUAAUGUUUGAUGUUCUAACGUUGACCCGUAAUCCGGGUUGCGGACAGUGUCUGGUGGGUAGUUUGACUGGGGCGGUCUCCUCCUAAAGAGUAACGGAGGAGCACGAAGGUUGGCUAAUCCUGGUCGGACAUCAGGAGGUUAGUGCAAUGGCAUAAGCCAGCUUGACUGCGAGCGUGACGGCGCGAGCAGGUGCGAAAGCAGGUCAUAGUGAUCCGGUGGUUCUGAAUGGAAGGGCCAUCGCUCAACGGAUAAAAGGUACUCCGGGGAUAACAGGCUGAUACCGCCCAAGAGUUCAUAUCGACGGCGGUGUUUGGCACCUCGAUGUCGGCUCAUCACAUCCUGGGGCUGAAGUAGGUCCCAAGGGUAUGGCUGUUCGCCAUUUAAAGUGGUACGCGAGCUGGGUUUAGAACGUCGUGAGACAGUUCGGUCCCUAUCUGCCGUGGGCGCUGGAGAACUGAGGGGGGCUGCUCCUAGUACGAGAGGACCGGAGUGGACGCAUCACUGGUGUUCGGGUUGUCAUGCCAAUGGCACUGCCCGGUAGCUAAAUGCGGAAGAGAUAAGUGCUGAAAGCAUCUAAGCACGAAACUUGCCCCGAGAUGAGUUCUCCCUGACUCCUUGAGAGUCCUGAAGGAACGUUGAAGACGACGACGUUGAUAGGCCGGGUGUGUAAGCGCAGCGAUGCGUUGAGCUAACCGGUACUAAUGAACCGUGAGGCUUAACCUU
rnacentral:rRNA from 2 species